rnacentral:rRNA from 1 species
CUCGGAUCAGGUAGGGAUACCCGCUGAACUUAAGCAUAUCAAUAAGCGGAGGAAAAGAAACCAACAGGGAUUGCCCUAGUAACGGCGAGUGAAGCGGCAACAGCUCAAAUUUGAAAGCUAGCCUUCGGGUUCGCAUUGUAAUUUGUAGAGGAUGCUUUGGGUAAAACGCCAGUCUAAGUUCCUUGGAACAGGACGUCAUAGAGGGUGAGAAUCCCGUAUGUGACUGGAAAUGUUAACCUAUGUAAAGCUCCUUCGACGAGUCGAGUUGUUUGGGAAUGCAGCUCUAAAUGGGAGGUAAAUUUCUUCUAAAGCUAAAUAUUGGCGAGAGACCGAUAGCGCACAAGUAGAGUGAUCGAAAGAUGAAAAGCACUUUGGAAAGAAGAGUUAAAAAGCACGUGAAAAUUGUUGAAAAGGGAAGCGCUUGCAAUCAGACUUGUUUAAACUGUUCGGCCGGUCUUCUGACCGGUUUACUCAGUUUGGACAGGCCAGCAUCAGUUUCGGCGGCCGGAUAAAGGCUCUGGGAAUGUGGCCUCCACUUCGGUGGAGGUGUUAUAGCCCAGUGUGUAAUACGGCCAGCCGGGACUGAGGUCCGCGC